GACGAACGCUGGCGGCGUGCCUAAUACAUGCAAGUCGAACGCUUCUUUCCUCCCGAGUGCUUGCACUCAAUUGGAAAGAGGAGUGGCGGACGGGUGAGUAACACGUGGGUAACCUACCCAUCAGAGGGGGAUAACACUUGGAAACAGGUGCUAAUACCGCAUAACAGUUUAUGCCGCAUGGCAUAAGAGUGAAAGGCGCUUUCGGGUGUCGCUGAUGGAUGGACCCGCGGUGCAUUAGCUAGUUGGUGAGGUAACGGCUCACCAAGGCCACGAUACAUAGCCGACCUGAGAGGGUGAUCGGCCACACUGGGACUGAGACACGGCCCAGACUCCUACGGGAGGCAGCAGUAGGGAAUCUUCGGCAAUGGACGAAAGUCUGACCGAGCAACGCCGCGUGAGUGAAGAAGGUUUUCGGAUCGUAAAACUCUGUUGUUAGAGAAGAACAAGGACGUUAGUAACUGAACGUCCCCUGACGGUAUCUAACCAGAAAGCCACGGCUAACUACGUGCCAGCAGCCGCGGUAAUACGUAGGUGGCAAGCGUUGUCCGGAUUUAUUGGGCGUAAAGCGAGCGCAGGCGGUUUCUUAAGUCUGAUGUGAAAGCCCCCGGCUCAACCGGGGAGGGUCAUUGGAAACUGGGAGACUUGAGUGCAGAAGAGGAGAGUGGAAUUCCAUGUGUAGCGGUGAAAUGCGUAGAUAUAUGGAAGAACACCAGUGGCGAAGGCGGCUCUCUGGUCUGUAACUGACGCUGAGGCUCGAAAGCGUGGGGAGCAAACAGGAUUAGAUACCCUGGUAGUCCACGCCGUAAACGAUGAGUGCUAAGUGUUGGAGGGUUUCCGCCCUUCAGUGCUGCAGCAAACGCAUUAAGCACUCCGCCUGGGGAGUACGACCGCAAGGUUGAAACUCAAAGGAAUUGACGGGGGCCCGCACAAGCGGUGGAGCAUGUGGUUUAAUUCGAAGCAACGCGAAGAACCUUACCAGGUCUUGACAUCCUUUGACCACUCUAGAGAUAGAGCUUUCCCUUCGGGGACAAAGUGACAGGUGGUGCAUGGUUGUCGUCAGCUCGUGUCGUGAGAUGUUGGGUUAAGUCCCGCAACGAGCGCAACCCUUAUUGUUAGUUGCCAUCAUUUAGUUGGGCACUCUAGCGAGACUGCCGGUGACAAACCGGAGGAAGGUGGGGAUGACGUCAAAUCAUCAUGCCCCUUAUGACCUGGGCUACACACGUGCUACAAUGGGAAGUACAACGAGUCGCUAGACCGCGAGGUCAUGCAAAUCUCUUAAAGCUUCUCUCAGUUCGGAUUGCAGGCUGCAACUCGCCUGCAUGAAGCCGGAAUCGCUAGUAAUCGCGGAUCAGCACGCCGCGGUGAAUACGUUCCCGGGCCUUGUACACACCGCCCGUCACACCACGAGAGUUUGUAACACCCGAAGUCGGUGAGGUAACCUUUUUGGAGCCAGCCGCCUAAGGUGGGAUAGAUGAUUGGGGUG
rnacentral:rRNA from 1 species